GGACCCGCACAAGCGGUGGAGCAUGUGGUUUAAUUCGACGCAACGCGAAGAACCUUACCAGGGCUUGACAUCCCUUGACAGCCAUAGAGAUAUGGUUUUCAAACCUUCGGGUUUGACAAGGAGACAGGUGGUGCAUGGUUGUCGUCAGCUCGUGUCGUGAGAUGUUGGGUUAAGUCCCGCAACGAGCGCAACCCCUACUUUUAGUUGCCAGCAUUUAAGGUGGGCACUCUAAAGGAACUGCCGGUGACAAACCGGAGGAAGGUGGGGAUGACGUCAAAUCAUCAUGCCCUUUAUGUCCUGGGCUACACACGUGCUACAAUGGCUGGUACAGAGGGCGGCGAAGGAGUGAUCCGGAGCGAAUCCCAAAAAGCCAGUCUCAGUUCGGAUUGCAGGCUGCAACUCGCCUGCAUGAAGUCGGAAUCGCUAGUAAUCGCGAGUCAGCAUAUCGCGGUGAAUACGUUCCCGGGUCUU
rnacentral:rRNA from 1 species